UGCGUGCAGGAUGACUGCCCUAUGGGUUGUAAACUUCUUUUGUACGGGAGUAAAGUGGUCCACGUGUGGAUUUUUGUAUGUACCAUAUGAAUAAGGAUCGGCUAACUCCGUGCCAGCAGCCGCGGUAAUACGGAGGAUCCGAGCGUUAUCCGGAUUUAUUGGGUUUAAAGGGAGCGUAGGCGGAUUGUUAAGUCAGUUGUGAAAGUUUGCGGCUCAACCGUAAAAUUGCAGUUGAUACUGGCAGUCUUGAGUGCAGUUGAGGUGGGCGGAAUUCGUGGUGUAGCGGUGAAAUGCUUAGAUAUCACGAAGAACUCCGAUUGCGAAGGCAGCUUACUGGAGUGUAACUGACGCUGAUGCUCGAAAGUGUGGGUAUCAAACAGGAUUAGAUACCCUGGUAGUCCACACAGUAAACGAUGAAUACUCGCUGUUUGCGAUAUACAGUAAGCGACUAAGCGAAAGCAUUAAGUAUUCCACCUGGGGAGUACGCCGGCAACGGUGAAACUCAAAGGAAUUGACGGA
rnacentral:rRNA from 1 species